rnacentral:sRNA from 1 species
GGGGUUUCACCGUGUUAGUCAGGAUGGGCUCGAUCUCCUGACCUCAUGAUCUGCCCCCCUCGGCCUCCCAAAGUGCUGGGAUUACAGGCAUGAACCACUGCACCCGGCCAGUUUCAACCUCUUAUUUGCUUCUUGUGUUCACACAAAAUGUGGGAUUCUGCUUCCUUACAUAAUUUAGCAAUUAUAAUACCUUAUAGCUCUCACAUCUGUGUAAAUUGUGACACAUUUAGUUCAAAUUUCUGUAGCAAUUUCAUAGUAUAGCGUUCCUGAUAUUUUUCUAAAAAGCAAAUGGCAAAUGUUUAGAUUUUUUAUUAUAUCACAUGUAUCUUUUAUGUUCGUAGCAACUACUCUAAAUUCUUAUGAUUCAAACACCCCAGGACCUGCUGGUGACAACCCCCUGGAGCUGAGUAGGAUUCCUGAUGAAAACUGCCAGAUUAACAGAUAUGGCCACUUUCAAGCCACCAUCACAAUUGUAGAGGGAAUCUUAGAGGUUAACAUCAUCCAGAUGACAGAUGUCCUGAUGCCGGUGCCAUGGCCUGACAGCUCCCUAAUAGACUUUGUCGUGACCUGCCAAGGGAGCAUUCCCACGGAGGUCUGUACCAUCAUUUCUGACCCCACCUGCGAGAUCACCCAGAACACAGUCUGCAGCCCUGUGGAUGUGGAUGACAUGUGUCUGCUGACUGUGAGACGAACCUUCAAUGGGUCUGGGACGUACUGUGUGAACCUCACCCUGGGGGAUGACACAAGCCUGGCUCUCACGAGCACCCUGAUUUCUGUUCCUGACAGAG